AUGGACAAGUCCUCGAAAACCNUUCUCUUUGGAGGGGGGAUCGGGGUAAAAGAACCCACGGCGCCUAAGGCGUCAAGGAACACUAUGCCUUAGCUCGGGGACGCGGACGGCUUGCUGGACGCCCCCGUGCUGCAAUGCUAUUUAAUCCACACGACUCUCGGCAACGGAUAUCUCGGCUCUCGCAUCGAUGAAGAACGUAGCGAAAUGCGAUACCUGGUGUGAAUUGCAGAAUCCCGCGAACCAUCGAGUCUUUGAACGCAAGUUGCGCCCGAGGCCAUUAGGCCGAGGGCACGCCUGCCUGGGCGUCACGCUAAACACGCUCCCCAUCCCCUCAACGGGAUGUUGGAUGCGGCAUGUGGCUCCCCGUCGCGCAAGGGGCGGUGGGCCGAAGAUAUGGCUGCCGGUGUAUCGUGCCGGACACAGCGCGUGGUGGGCGACCUCGCUUUACUUACCGCAGUGCAUCCGGCGCGUAGCUGGCGAUAUGCCCUCCAAGGACCCUUUGAACGGUGCGCAUGACGCUCCGACC
rnacentral:rRNA from 1 species